rnacentral:siRNA from 1 species
GCCUUGGUACACAGAAGAAACACA